GGCAGGUUUUUGUACACUGCUUAAUGGGGCCCAUGGCAAUGUGAUGCUUACUUCGAGUACUGGGGCCAGGGCACCCUGGUCACCGUCUCCUCAGCGGACCCAGUCAGCCCCAGUUCCUUCCCACUGAGUCUCCAAAGCACUGACCCAGCCGGUCAUGUAGUCAUUGGCUGCUUGGUCCGGGAUUUCUUUCCCCUGGGGUCCGUGAACGUGACCUGGGACCACAAUGGGAAAGGCACCUCCAUCAUGAACUUCCCCCCUGUGCAAGUUGCUGGGGGCCUCUACACCAUGAGCAGCCAGCUGACCCUACCAGCUGACCAGUGCCCAGAGAAAGGAACUCAGAAAUGCCACGUGAAGUACAACUCCAAUCCAAGCCAGGCUGUGGAUGUGCCCUGCUCCACAGCAUCAAAGUGUCCACAAUCAUGCUGCCAGCCCCACCUGACAAUGCAUCGGCCUGCCCUCGAGGACCUGCUCUUAGGCUUCAAUGCCAACAUCACGUGCACACUGAGUGGCCUACAAGACCCUGAGGGUGUCACCUUCACCUGGAAGCCCACAGGUGGGAAGGAGGCUAUCCAGGGGACAGCUGAGCGUGACUCCUUUGGCUGCUACAGUGUGUCCAGCAUCCUGCCAGGCUGUGCCGAGCUGUGGAACCGUGGGGACAACUUCUCAUGCACUGUCAACCAUCCUGGGUCUAAAACCCCACUAACUGCCACCAUCACCAAACCAUCAGGGAACCUCCUGCUGCCCCAGGUCCACCUGCUGCCACCACCCUCAGAGGAGCUGGCCCUCAAUGAGAUGGUGACACUGACAUGCUUGGUGCGGGGCUUCAGCCCCCGUGACGUGCUAGUGCUGUGGCUGCACGGGGACCAGGAGCUGCCCCGAGAUAAGUACUUGACCUGGAGCCCCCUGCAGGAGGAUGCCCAAGGCACCACAUUUGCUGUGACCAGUGUGCUGCGUGUGGAGGCUGAGCAGUGGAAGAAUGGGGACAACUUCUCCUGCAUGGUGGGCCAUGAGGCCCUGCCCCGGAACUUCACCCAGAAGACCAUCGACCGCCUGGCGGGUAAACCCACCCACGUCAACGUGUCUGUAAUCUUGUCGGAGGUGGAGGGCACCUGUUACUGAGCAGCCCCACCUGCCCACCUUACCCUUGAAUAAACUCCAUGCUGGCUCAAAGCAGCCACACGUCCCUCUGGCA